AGCAGACUAUAGUUUCUUAUCUGGCUCUAACAUUCAUUUUCCCGAAAUGAAAAAAAAAAAUAAAAAGGCUUCUUAAAAUGAAAUAAACUACAUUCAAUUCAGACAAGCGGCGCUAGUGAAGAAAUUUAUUGCAGCCGGCAGAACGGAACGGCUGCGGAGACUUUUCUGUCGCAGCAGUGAGGACCUUCUCCAAAAAAAUGUGUACACCAUGUGGAAAACGCCACUGCCGAGACAGCACCAUGACCCAAUAUCACAAAAAUAUCCCCAAAUGUGCCUGUCCAAGCAGCGGUGGCACUUGCCCUGGAGACAUCCAUGAGCAGGACCCUGUUUGUGUCCCAAACUGGAGGUGUCCCCCUUAAAAGGGACACAUAAGAUCAGGACAAUUUUUAGAAGGGCAUGUUGUGACAGGACAAGGGGUGAUGGUUUUAAACUAAAGGAGGGAGAUUCAGACUGGAUGUGAGGAAGGAAUUGUUGUCCCUGAGGGUGGUGAGAGCCUGGCCCAGGUUGGGCAGAGAGGUGGUGGAUGAACCAUCCCUGGAGACAUCCCAGGCCAGGCUGGACGGGGCUCUGAGCAACCUGAGCUGGUGAAGAUGCCCCUGCUCAUGGCAGGGCGGGCACUGGGGGAGCUGGGAAAGGCCCUGCACUCCAAGCUAUCGUGACGGGUCUAUGAGGAGCACAGACCCUUACAACACCCCCCGCCUCCCCCUGUCCCCGGCUGAAGGGAAAACAGGAAGGGCGGGACCCCCGGUUAACAGACAGGGCGCUCAGCCAAUCAGAGACCCAGGCGCAGAGAAGCUUCUGGAGCGGCCCACGGGAUAUAAAGUGGCGGCCACGUGGUGUUUGGUUCAUUUGGAGGGGUCUUCGGGGAGCAGCGGGGGUGAGGAGAGCUCUGCUGGAGAUCAGGGACCAUCUAAGGAGACUUCCAAGGACUGAGAGCCCUCACGUCUUCUUUGGCGAGUGUUUUUAUUAUUUUCUUUUUUUUCCUGCAAGUAUGUUUUAGUGAGCCCUUGUUCCCCCCGUCUCACACAAUCGAUUAUUCUUUCUGGUACCCUUGAGUAUAAGCUGCCUCUAGUUCCGCUUUUUUGUGAGUGAAUGUGUGCACUUUGUGGAUUGUAGUUAUUCUUAUGAGGUGGUACUACAGUAGUUUCCUCAGCUGGUGUCUGAACCUGUGUUCUGUGUUGUUCUAAAUAAUUUGGAUUAAACCCUGGUUUUAGUUGGCUUCUUGGCUGAACUGUUGUGACCAGAAUAAAGCCUGUUUGGAGCUCGUUGCCUGACUGAAUUGCCUUUUGGAGUGUCUGUGGUAUGUGGCAAGCUGAGCUGUGGUGUAAAGUUAUUUAUUUUUGCUUAUUUUGGGAUGCCUCUGCCAUUCCCAUGAGACUCCAGUGACCUGCAUCUCAGCAGCUUCUGCUCAUGAGCAAACAGGGAUUUGUAGCCCUGUUUGGCUCCUCAUUAAUUACAUUGUAGGAUUGUUUUGGUUGGAAAAUACCUUUAAGGUCAUCAAGUCCAACUGUAAUUCAAUGCUGGCACUGAUCUAUAUAUCUGAGAACCUCAUCUCUGCAUCUGUUCAACCCCUUCAGGGAUGGUGACUCCACUAUUUCCCUGGUGCACUGGGAGGAAAGGACACAGAAAAACACCAAGAAGGGGGGAAAAAAAAGAGAAAAGGGGAGAAAAUUGGGACAGGAGUCACUGGUGUGGGAGCAGCUGGGGAUGCUGUGAGGGACUAUCAGGGGCCAGCAAGUCUUGGAGCAUCACCUGCUGAAGCAAAUGACUAGAAUUGCACGUGUAAAAGUGGAAAUUGUCUUUUUGUAGAUGCAGAGAAUGAAAGCAAGCGUGGCGUGAGCAGGGGUUGGUUUUCACAGUGCCGAAAUCCUCCGGUGGGAAAGCUGAUGGCAAAGAAGGGGAUGCAGGAGGAGAGGUGGCCCUGGUCCCUGUGACACCAGGAUGUCCCUGUUUGCCAUCUGCAACCAGCGACAGCUCCACCAGGGUCAAAUCAUUACAUAAACCUCUGGAUUUCUAUGGCAAUUAGCUAAUGGGCCCUCAGCAUGUAAAACAAAGUACUUUCACCCCCCACCGUCAGGUGGAUUUGGUGAAUAUUGACUUGGCAUAAUAAGGAGCUGGUGUUCACAACUUUGUUUAUAACCCCAUUUGCAGGGAAUAGGUUGUUUUGCUUGGGAGAAACUUGAUAUUUUUCUGUCGCUGAUUUCUGUUGUGCAUGGUGUGGACUGUGUUCUGCUCCUUUGUAGGGCUGAACAAUUAAAAUAAAGAGGGUCAUCUUUUGGGCUUAAAUCUUCACGUUUAAAGUUUAAUGGGUCUGUUGUCCUGUGCUGACAGAUCAUGGUUUCAUUUGAGGAAAAGUGUGUUUUCAUAUCAAAGGAGCCCCCCUGCACUGACCCAGCCUUCCUUCCUCCUCUCUCUGCCCCAGCACACAUGCUAUUUUAAUAUUUCAUAUAUUUCAUAAGCUUUUAUGCCUCUAAAAGAGAAGUGAAUUUGUGGAGAGUUGAGCUCUCCAGAGCUGUACUUCAGAGCUGGGAAGUAAUUCAGGGUGAAGCCUGUAUUAAUCUCAGGUGAGAGAGAUAUUUAAAUUCAGGCUACCAGUGUGAAUAUAAAAUGGGGAUCUCUUUACAAAAAUUUCAAAUUGUAAUAUGCAAAGCUUAAAGAAAAGAAACCCCAAGGGAACGGCUUUCUUCUAGAACAUUUUGUUCCAACCAUCAUCUCUUUGCCUUAUUUUUUUAUUUAAAAAACCCUCCCUUUGCCAUUUUGUAUUUUUUUUAAAUGAAAUCUUUCAGUUUUUCAAAUGAAAUUCCUUAUUGCUGGGAGAUAGUGGUGGUGGUGGGGGGUGGAAUGUAAGUACCUGGCUGCGGAAAAAAUCGUGUAUGGGCUCAGAUUUUAGCAGGAGCAGAAGGGGAAAUAAAGCCCUGUGUGGUUGUCCCCAGGAAUGUGUCCAUGUCACCUCUUCCAGCAUCUCUGGGCUGAACUGCUCCAUCACCAUCUGGCGCAAGUUCAGCUUUCCUCUUUAAAGCAGAUAAAACGUUAAUAUUGAUUUGUGAUCCUGGACAGCAGGUGGUUAAUUUGUGUGUGUUUUGGCAGGGAUGGGGAUCAGCUUGGGGACGUCUUUACCCGAACCCCAUGGUACCGCUCCUGGGUUUGCGUCCCUGGCGAAAUCCUGAGGCUGCAACCAGCUCUCGGGUCAGGAGAAAUGGUGACAGAUGACAUGCUAUUAUCAGCUGUGUCAAUUAAUUAAAUUAUACAUUAUGCUUAUGAGGGUGAUAUACUGAGCCACUCUAGAUUAAGUGUCUCAAUUAAGUCUUUAAUUUAGAUUUAAUAAGUAAGUUAUUAUAUGUUAAUAAAAGAUCAAUUAGUUGCUCAAAGAGCAUUGAUCCAGGUACAGGGAGUGCGGCAGGGAGAUGUGGAGCUGACAGUGAAGACACGGAGACAUCGCCUGAACAACACGUGUACAAUUAAGUUUUUAAUAUGCUCCAACGGGAGCGGACACGGGGCAUCUGGCACUGUGCAUAAAUGCGUAUAAGUGGUGUAUUGCAGUGUCUUUCCACAAGCAUGAUGCACACCCCAUCAUGACCCUCUUUUUUGGUGAUUUUGGGCUAAGGUGGUUCAUUCCCAUGGGCAAAUUUUGGGGGGGGGAACCUGUAGUUGGGCUUCCAGAGGGAGGGGAAAGAAGCGCUGGGCUCUGGUGGAGCCGAGAUUUCAGCUGAAUAUGGAUGACAUCAUUAUACGGGUGAUCCUUUCAGCAACAGCGAGCUGGGUUUUAAAGUAGCGACCUACAGCAUACAAAUGAUGGGUUUAAAGGAAAUAAAAAAAGAGAUGAUUUGAAUAGCAUACAUUUAUAGAAGAAUAAGCCUUCCCCCCCUCCCUGCUUCCAUUUCUAAUAUCUUUCUAUGGGGCAGGCGCUGUGCAUUCGAAAAGAAAUUAAAACACUCCUCCUAAAUACACUCCAGGCAGUAACAAUGGCAAAGUUAAGAAGGUUAUGAGACUUAGUUGUCCCAGCAACAUGUCAUCAAGUUGAAAUGAGCAGGAAACAUAGAUAACGUAAGAAAGGGGAGUGGGGGGGACGAAGAAUAAAACCACAGGAGGAAAAAAUGCCAAGAGAUUGAGAAAGAAAAGGGAAAACCCUUUUUAUUUGCUGUUUCAUUAGGAUGAGUCUGAUUUUAUAGUCUCUAAAAGAGGCUAAAAUAUAAUCUCCUUUUGUGUAAUGUGCGUGUUAGGAAAAUGUGUCAUCAGCAAUUCUUCUGUACACUACAGCAAUAUUCAAAAAAUUAGCAGGGAUAUUCAAGGCGAGCUACAAAGAGAAACAAACAGACGACUCACAUUUCAAGCCCGAGCUGUCAUUUAAGAAUGUUUUCAACUUUUUAUUAACCUUUUUGAUUGUCCCUUAUGGUUUUUGUCUGCUGCAGCAGAAGAGCUCUGAGUUUCCAAAGGAAGACAAAGCAGCCUAGAGAAGGAGGUUUGAGAUGCAGCUCUGGUGAGCCUGAGGCUCUCCUGGUUCUUCAGCAUGGAGGUUUUUUGUGCUGUAUGUGGGCACAGAAUCAUUGAUUAGUGAGAUGGUUUUGGGUGAAGGGACGUUCCCAGCUCCCCCAGUGCCCCCCCUGCCACGAGCAGGGACAUCUUCACCAGCUCAGGUUGCUCAGAGCCCCGUCCAGCCUGGCCUGGGAUGUCUCCAGGGAUGGUUCAUCCACCACCUCUCUGCCCAACCUGGGCCAGGCUCUCACCACCUUCAGGGACAACAAUUUCUUCCUCACAUCUAUCCUGAGUCUCCCCUCCACCACUUCCCUGUGCAUCGUGUGUUUUGGGGUGCUGCAGUAGGAUGUGUGUCUGCUUAUUGACUUGACAUUGUCAUGUGCCCCUGAUGUUUCAGUGUGAUCCCUGGCUAGAGUCACUAGGCAAAACUCUAAUUAAAACAGCAAUUGAUCAGAAGAGGGAGAAAUUAAAGCUGAUGGUCAGUUCCUGCUGGCAGAGGGAGGGGGCUGUGGAGAAGCCCCUCUAACAAUGCACCAAACACAGUAUCCCCUGACUGAGCCACAGAGCUGGUUUCAUGCUGAGAUGGGUGAGUGAUAAAGAGGAUUAAAAACCAGUGUUGGCCAUGCUGUGGGGGGAUGGCCUUCAUGGUCCCAGGGAGCUUUUCUAAUUAUAUGUCCCUAAAUGUAGACUAAGGAACCUAAUUUUAUGUACUACUUUUAAAAAUCAUCUUAGUGUGUGUGCCUCCAAACUCAUGACAGCCCGAGUCCCUCAGCUACAUUUUAAAACCUCAGUGGUAUGUCUUAGCGUGUUCCUUGCUGAGAUAUUUUUAGUGCUUGUACAUUCCAUGUAACUACCCCAAAUUAUUCUGCCUUCUGAUAAAAAUCUCUCCUCUUUCCUUCCCACCCUUUUCUUCCACAAAAAUAUUUAUUUGUUGUGCCUCUUUUUUAAUUGUCUCUUGCUGUGGUUUCUUGUUGUGGAUUAUAUUUUAAAGCAAGGAUUGAUUUAGUUAAUUGAUGGAGAGCUUUGCCUGUGAGGAUUUCAUAAUCCUUGCUAUUUUAUCUUUGCAAUAAUUGCUGUGUUUGUGAUUAUUUCAAAGGACUAAGAAAAAGCAAGACAACAAGAAAACAAGCUCAUCCACUCCUGUUUUGCAGCUUCUUCAGGCACCUGGGUGGGCUCCUCCUCUGCAACAUGUUCUGUGCGCUCAGGGAAGACAACCAAAUGAUGCAGGGGCUGUAACAGGAUCAAGGGAGCGCUCUCCACCUCUCCCACGUGAGAACUGGUUGAUCUGCCUUCCUUGCUCAGCGUGCGUACCUGUGCUUCUGCACAGCUGCAGUUCUGCUCUUGGAAAACAACCAUUUUGUCUCUCCCAUUUGGGUUCUGCACCCAGGCCCAGAUUGUAAUCCUGGAUGUCUCUCUAAAUCCUGCUCUGUCCCACCAUUAAAAAGCCCCAGAAGGGUGAAAUCAAGCCUCUGUGGUAGUACACUAACAAAAUAUUGGAGUAGAUGGAAACUUUCUUGAUGGGGUCACCUCUGAGAGUCCAGGUAAAUGAUUUGCAGCCUGUCUCUGGGUGGUGCAGAAGGGCCAAAUCUCAGCAACGAAGAAGCACAUUGAGGUUUGACCUGUGAGCUGUGAAGGUUUUAUGCAACUCCACUCAGCCUUGGAGACAUCUUUGCCUGAAUGCCCCUGCGCAACCCUUAUGGCGGCUUCCAGACCUUGUGCAUCCUCACACAGGAAGGCGCAUGUUCCCAGGUCACUUCUAGGGAAGCUUGAGGCAGGUUGCUUGGGGCUUUUUUUUGCCCCCACUCCUUCAGUCCUUAAUCACCACCUGCUCAGGUCUUGGAAAUGAGUUGUUGAGGCUGUCAGGACUGUAGGACACAUAAUAAAGUGCACACACCUACAUAUAUACAUAUAUAUGUGGGCUGGUUUACAUUGUCAUGCUUACAGCUUAAUUAGGACAUCAUUCAGACACCUGGGCCUAUGCCUAAACUGGAGGGUUUUCUUUAUUCUUUCUAGGUUUUCUCAUUUAGGUUUUAGUCAGAUUCCCAAGUGAAAGAAACAAAAGGCUAAUUGCUUUUGGGUUUUAAUUACCACUGCAAUACCUGGGUUUAUUGUAUGAAUUGUGUCUUAUAGGUGGCUAAAAGACACCACCAGCAAGUGAUAGAUUCUCAGCUGACAACAGCAGUGUUUAAACCAAAGUAAUUCAUUGCAGUGGGAUCCAAAGGACAGCACACAUAUUCAUUUGCUAAACUCCUAAUUUUUUGUUGUAGAACGUAACUUCAAGACUUGGCUGACUUUUAAAUGUGAUCUAAUUAAGCAUGCCUGAAUUUUUUUUAAAGACAGAAGUAGAACCACUUUAUAAUCCAGAGUGUUAAGUCUCUUCAAAAUUCCUUGAGUAGUUACAUUUCUGCUUUAGUUUGGGGUGGCACAGCGCACUCCUAAUUUGUAAUAAAUGACUCUUCACACACAGUGACUCAAUUACUACAGCUGUUGAGUUCAUAUCUAGCUGUUUUUAAUGCCUUAGCCCAUAUAUGCUUCUGUAUGCUUCUUACUUAGCCAGGUGGGUUAUUCCACUGAUUUUUAAGUGUAUAAAAUGCAAGGCAAAUCCUCAUUCUCCAUCCACUUAUUAAUCCUAAAAAUACUUGACAUCCUUCUUCUAUCCAUCCAUAUUUUCUUGUUCGUGGUGUCCUGAUUGAACCAUUGCAGGAGAAAAAUUAUUUUCUUAAAAUAUUCCUGAACUUUCUUUUUGACCAAUCAGAAGCUUUAGAUUUCUGUUUCUAUUGGUGGCCAAAGGACAUGGGACCAGACAGGUAUUUUUGAGAAAGUCAGAUGGUGUAUUCCAAGUAUAUUUAUUACAAAUAGCUUGGGAGUAAUGUUAAGUCUUCAGUAUCUUUUCAGAUAGUGAGCCUUGAAAACAGGAAAAGUAAGGAAGACCAGGAGCCUAAGCUGAAGGAUUUUGAGGUUUGUACUUCAGAUUGAGAAGAAACAAGAAGUGAACUCAGAAUUACAUGAGCCAUCAAAUCCUGACAGCCCUGGGGUAGAAAUGCAGUGUGGAUUUGAUGGGAUUUCUGAUGUUCCAAACAUAUAGGUAGAGGUUGGUGGAAGGACAAAGCAUCUUUUGAGUUGAGACCCUCUUGGAGGUAUCCUAAUGGGUAAGCUAAUCAUAAUUUUUCAAGGCUUUAAAGUUCAUCUGUAGGGAAUUCAGAAAAAGGGUCCUAUGGAUUUGAAGCACGGUGGUUGCUUUCAGCAGAAAUCCGGAAGUCUUGCAAACCACUUUUUUUUAGAAAUUGCAGUGUGUAGUAUUAAAAAUUAACCUAUAUGUCUCUUCAGAGAUGCUGUGCGGAGAGCAUGUGUCUGGGACAAGCUGAAUGCUUCAUCACCUGGUUUUAUUUUAAGCCUGGCAAUGAGUGUACACUUAGCCAUGGUCAAAUAACUGUUUGCUUGCUUUGUUGUGCAGCUCCAUGAUUUAUGUCCAGUGACUUUGGCUCUUUGGAGCCCAUAGAAGUUUCCCUUCAUUGCCUUUUCUGUGAUUGUCCCAGAAAAGUAUAUAAACUUUUGGUUGUCCCAGUUUCUGGUUUUGGGCCAGAAGGCCCAGGCUUGACAGCAGUUUCUCUGCUGACUUGAGCAAUGUAUGUAUUUAAGGACAGAAAACAAGACCCUGGAGCCAGGGUGGUUACUUGUGUAGCCACCUACAUAGUACUGAGGCAACAGUGGCCUCUCCUGUGGUGUCAGGUUGGCCUGGGCCUUGUGGGUGCCAUGGGCUUCUCAGCUGUACACAAGCCCCUACAAUGACACCGUAGGUUCGGGGAGGGGGGAGAUAUAUUAUGAUGACUUUUAUAUCGUGUAUGCGACCUGCUUGGUUCUGCCAUGACAGGGAGUGUGAGGUAAAUGGCAGCACUGCCCUUGGUGUUCACAGAAUGUCAGGGAUUGGAAGGGACUUCCAAAGCUCAUCCAGUGCAAUCCCCCCAUGGAGCAGGAACACCCAGAUGAGGUUACACAGGAAGGUGUCCAGGCGGGUUGGAAUGUCUGCACAGGAGACUCCACAACCUCCCUGGGCAGCCUGGGCCAGGCUCUGACACCCUCACCAGGAAGAAGUUUCUUCUCAGAUUUAAGUGGAAUCUCCUGUGUUCCAGUUUGUACCCAUUGCCCCUUGUCCUGUCACUGGUUGUCACCCAGAAGAGCCUGGCUCCAUCCUCCUGACACUCCCCCUUUCCAUAUUGAUCCCCAGGAAUGAGUCACCCCUCAGUCUCCUCUUCUCCAGCUCCAGAGCCCCAGCUCCCUCAGCCUUUCCUCACACGGGAGAUGCUCCACUCCCUUCAGCAUCUUGGUGGCUGCGCUGGACUCUCUCCAGCAGUUCCCUGUGCUGCUGGAACUGAGGGGC